GACACCGAGCAGAACCGAAAGCCGUUCUCAGUUCGGAUCGGAGUCUGCAACCCGACUCCGUGAAGCUGGAUUCGCUAGUAAUCGCGCAUCAGCCAUGGCGCGGUGAAUACGUUCCCGGGCCUUGUACACACCGCCCGUCAAGCCAUGGGAGCCGGGGGUGCUUGAAGUGCGUCGCCGCAAGGCGCGCCCUAGAGCAAAACCGGUGACUGGGGCUAAGUCGUAACAAGGUAGC
rnacentral:rRNA from 1 species